GUGCUGAAAGCAUCUAAGCACGAAACUUGCCCCGAGAUGAGUUCUCCCUGAGACUAUAAGUCUCCUGAAGGAACGUUAAAGACGAUGACGUUGAUAGGCCGGGUGUGUAAGCGCAGCGAUGCGUUGAGCUAACCGGUACUAAUGAACCGUGAGGCUUAACCUUACAACGCCGAAG
rnacentral:rRNA from 1 species